UUUAUUUCUCCUAUAAGCAAGAGAGACAGACAGGACCUCAAACAGGGUGAUGACACUGAUCCACCUCUAGCUUCAGCCAGGUUUGGAUCAUAGUGGACAAUGGAGCCUGGUUGAAAAUAGAGAGUGAAACAAAUGAGCAAACCUCUCUGAGAAACACUUUAGUAUCCUGCUGCCUAACUUAACCCAAGUUCAACACCAAACAUCAGUCAGAGUUGUGUACAAGAUGAAAGGGCCAAAAUAUGAAAAGCCAAACUUGAAGUUAAAACUGCCUUCAUAAGAUAGCAUCUAUGUGGCUUCAGUUGUUACUUACAAAUCCCUCUGUCAUCUUUACAAAGUUUCGAGAGAUAUUAUACAUGUAUAGAGUAGUCCCUCCUUAUUGCUUACCUGGGAGUUCCACUUUUUGCAGUUUCAGUUACCUCUGGUCUACUGGGGUCUGAAAAGAAAUGGACAUCCACUGGGGUUCUUGGAACAUGUCCAAUGUGGCUAAGAGGGACGACUGUAUAUGCUAUAUUGGUCAGUUAUAUGUUGAUACCUCCUGAAGUCAAUUCUGAAUUUCAAAAUAAGCAAAAGCAGUCAUUUCUUCCAUUCUCAUGAAUUUGAAGGCAUUUUCAUAUUGAUGAAUCUCCACCUUCCUUCUAUCAUCACCACUUUAACUGAGGCCAGUGGUCCCUCUGAUCACCACACAAGCCCAUUGUUUGAACCAUCUUUGGGAAAAGGAGAGCAAAACAUGAUGGUAGGAAACUUCGACCAAGUAAUAAUCUGGAUGGGAUGACAGGAAGAGAGCCUAGAGCAGGAAACAGAAUACUUUUGGGGGCUGAAUGAUGUUCACCUUAAGAUGAAGAACCUGGACUUUGGGUAACAGUCUGGCCCGUGGACUUGCAACAUGGAUUGAAAUGACAAGCAUUUCAUCGAGAUGUCAAAACAGGAAGAAAUUCUGGCAUAAUUAGCAUUGAUAAUAGCACAACUAAUUACUGGCUAGUUUUUCUGAUGAAGAGUUCUAUUAAAGGAGAAUCUAUACUAUGUUUGGUUUUAGGAGUGAUGGUAUAGGUCUACCAACCAUAUUUGUUACUUGAAUAUUGAAUUUCCUGAACUCACUGCUCUGUGAUGAUAGUUACUUUUAUGUAGUCAUAUACUUCAAAUGAAUACAACUAGAAACAACACCUUAGAAAAUUACUCUUACAAGAUGCUUAACAGUAAAGUAGUGAAGCUUUAUAAGAUGUUCAUAGGUGAGAAUAUAGCCCACACAAAUAAGUCUUUGUAUAGCUAGAAGAUCUCUUCAAAUUUAGUUAUUUGUUACUGAUCAUUUAAAUCCACUUAUACAGAUGUAAGAUUUAACAGUGUGGUCCUAAGAAGUGGUUCUGGUUCAUAACUGAGGACUGCUGAGUCUAACUUUAACUUUUUCAUAACUAGCUGAAUAAAUGUGGGGAAAACCACCUAGCCUUUCUACAUCUUUAAAAAUAGAACUGGGGCAGGCUCUGUGGCACAAAGGUAAUGCACUGCUCAAGAGAAACCAGAUCUGACAUGGUGACUAUGGUUUGAAUCCCUGUACUAGGAAUGUGGAUGAGUGCCCACAAUCUAAUGGGCAGGAGGACUAGAGGAAGCAGAUCACAGUGUGACCAUCCCCUUGGAGGGGGCUCAUCUCUCUCUCUCUCUCGUGCUCAUGUGUGCAUGCAUACACGAUCAUAAUCAAAAUAAAAUAAAGAAAAGAAACAAGAAUAAAACUGUCCACUGGUCAAAACAGGUUUAAAGAGUAAACAAGGGACUAUGAAAUAAAAAAUGAGAAAAGUUUAAAACCAUGAAAGUUAAUUUAUAGAUUACUAAUAACCACACUGGCAAUAAAUUGCUUAUUUGUUCCUAAACUUAGCCUAGAGAUUGUAGAACUUAGGA